GUGUAGUUUAACAUUUUCAGUACAACUGGGAGCAGACAAGAAUAUGAUACAAAGACAUAUAUGCAGGCAAAGCACCUAUAUACAUACAAUUUUAAAAAAUGAAAGUAGAAAUAACAUACAUAACUACAUAAAGUGAUGGCUACCAAUUAUUGUAUUUCUUCAAUUCAAUAUUACAUAUUUUUAUAUUUCGGAAAUUGAUACUUAUCUUGCAAACUUAUCUUGGUUAAAGCUGGAUGUGAUGGCACGUACCUUUAAUUCCAGCACUUGGAAAGCAGAGCCAUGUGGAUAUCUGUGAGUUCAAGGCCACUGGUCUACAUACUGAGUUUCAGGACAGCCAAAGCUACAUAGAAAGACCCCGUCUCCAAAAAAAGAAAAAAGGGGAAGGGGACCUGGUUAUACAUAAAGUAACUGGUCUUAUUAUACAUAUUUUAGUCACUCUUCUAUUGCUCUGAAGAGAUACCAUGACCAAGGCAACUCUUAGAAAAGAAACCAAUUAACUGCAGCUUACUCAUAGUUUCAGAGGUUUAGACAAUUUUCAUGACAUUCAUGGCACUACAGCAUUAGCUGAGAGCUGUGUCCUGAUCUGCAGGCCAAGAGAGAGAAAAACACUGAGCUUUUGGAAACUCAAAGCCCACCUCUGGUAACACACUUAUCCUGACAAGGUCACAUUUGAAAACUCAAAGCCCACCUCUGGUAACACUUAUCCUGACAAGGUCACAGCCGCAAAUCCUUCUAAUCGUUCAAACAGUUCUAUUCCCUGGGGACUAAGCAUUCAACAUAUGACCCUAUGGGGCCAUUUUUAUUCACCACUACAAUACAUAACAAUUUAGAUUUGAUAAAAUUGCUUUGCAAGAGACCACAAGAUGGCUCAAAGUGCUAUGGAACACUAGUGUAUCACUUGUUUUUAAUGUUUAAGAAAUGAGGCUAUGGUAGUUGUUUAGACUGUUUUAGUUUUGGGUUCUAUAAUUAUUUCAGAAAACCGUAUGGUCUUAGUUAUUGUACUCAGAGGUGCCUUUUUGGUAGUGAGUAAAAUUUCACCCCAUUCUUACAGAGACUCUCUGUUUACUGUAAUGAAUUUUUAAGAAAAUGUCUUGUGUCUAAGAGGAUUUGCGAUCAUUUUAUAAACUGUAAAGUGACUUCCUUCCUUUGAUGUUCUAUUGCCAGGGUGGGAAAGAGCACGGUGUUCCCAUCCUCAUCUCUGAGAUCCACCCGGGACAGCCUGCGGAUAGAUGUGGAGGGCUGCAUGUUGGAGAUGCUAUUCUGGCAGUCAAUGGAGUCAACCUAAGAGACACAAAGCAUAAAGAAGCUGUAACUAUACUCUCCCAGCAGGUGAAUUCUCUUUAUGUCAUUAAAGCUGCUAUAGAAGUUGUUUCUAUUCCUUGACGCUUAUGGAUGUCAUUUGAUCAUAUUUGCUGAAAAGUUAUAUUUACUCCUUCCCAUAGCUACUUAGCUUUGGACAAAUUAUGUCCAUCCUCUGGGCAGCAGUCUCCUAAGCUCUAUGAUGGAAAUGGAGCUGUAGUGCGUGUAUCUCAGAAUAGGAUAAGUUCUUAAGAUCAACCGCAAGAAUGACAGGCACAUCUUGCCAAUAUAGGGUGUCAGGGAAUACUGGUAGGAGAAGACUGAUUUUGGUCAUAGAAUAUGGACUGAAAGGAUCAUUAGAAUUCCUCUAGCCCAGUUUGAAGAGACUGGUCAGUGGUUAAAGGCACUUGCUGCUCUUAUAGAGGACCCAGAUUCAACUCCCAGCGCUCACAUGAUGGUCAGUAGCCAUUUGCAAUUCUAGUUCUGGGAUUGAUCCUAAGCCCUCUUUUGCUUCCAAGGGCACGGACAUUCAUGUAGGCAAAACACACAUAUACAUAAUAUAAAAUAAUUAUAAUAAAUGUUAAAGAUAUUAAACUGCAAUUCCUGGAGAGCAGUUGCACAGCAAAUGAUUUAUAGAAUAACGAUCCAUAUUUAGAGUCAGAUUUGUUAUCUCAUGUCCUUACAGCCUCUGUUUUCCUCUGGGAAUAGAGUUGAGGGGAUUAAAACAAUGCUGGUGGAACAUGAAGAUGUUUGGGUCAUCAACAGAGUGUACUAGUGUAGAGUGAUUGUAGAUGGAUGUGACUGUACAGACAAGCAGCUUAGCUAAUCUCUAGUGACGUACUUUACUGCAGGAACCACCCCUAUGGCAUCAAUUCAAUAGCUUCAGUAAGGGAGGACUUACUGAUAAUGGAUGGGGUUGGUUGGUUGGUUGUUUGUUUUAAGAAAGGUCUUGUACAUUAAGCUUGAAAUUUGUAUUAGUAUGUGUUUCCAACCUGUGAUACUGUGACUCAGCUUUGUCAUAUACAAAGUUUAUUCAUUAGAAACACACAAUGGAGUU
rnacentral:lncRNA from 1 species